rnacentral:rRNA from 1 species
CAGCCGCCGCGGUAAUACGUAGGUGGCAAGCGUUGUCCGGAAUUAUUGGGCGUAAAGCGCGCGCAGGUGGUUUAAUAAGUCUGAUGUGAAAGCCCACGGCUCAACCGUGGAGGGUCAUUGGAAACUGUUAAACUUGAGUGCAGGAGAGAAAAGUGGAAUUCCUAGUGUAGCGGUGAAAUGCGUAGAGAUUAGGAGGAACACCAGUGGCGAAGGCGACUCUCUGGUCUGUAACUGACGCUGAGGAGCGAAAGCGUGGGGAGCGAACAGGAUUAGAUACCCGCGUAGUCCCUGUCUCUUAUAC